GGGAAGUCUUACAGGAAUAAUCAAGAGGAAUAAUAACCUGCACAGCCUUGUACUUCUUGCUCUUUGUAGUUGGUCACCUUCUGGAAACCACGGGACUCCACCUCCUUGUUUCUUACCUGCCUGCAACUGGGUGUCCCCCCUCACCCCUUCCUGUCACACUCAGACUCAUCCACAGUCUCCUUAGAGAGAUUUCAGGGAGACAGGAAACACUUCCCUCUCUUCCAUUAAAAAACAGUCCCUCCUCCCCGGGUGAGAUAACCAGAAAUGAAACAUUUUGUUCUACAUUUGGAAAUGGGUCUUAUAAUAUAUAUUCAAUUUGACUGGGUUCUAGGUGGUUCUGGAUUCUGAAGAAGAAGAAGAGGAAGAGGAGUAUGAGGAGGAGGAGGAAGAAGAAGCAGAGGGAGAAGAGGAGGAAGAAGAGAGAGCACGAGCACACACACUAGUGGGCUGGAAAGAGUGUGAGCUUGGGCACAGAUGUGUGGAAGGGAUGAGGAGAGGAAGAAACUCAGGAAGGAGAGACUUAAAGCACAGCUCUGCUGAAGUGGCUUCUUUGCUCUGCACAUGUCUCCAAAUGCCCUCAGACUCAGAAGUACCUUUUCACACAUGACUGAAAAUCAGGGAGGAAAGAGGAAGAGUCACAUUCCAGACUCACCUCCCACUCCUGUAGCCUGUUGCCCACAUUUGCUCCUUGUUGCUGAUCAGCAUUAGCCUGGGGGUAGCCCAAGUGCAGAAGAGCCAGGAAAGAGGAUGCUGCAGGCCAUGGCUGAGCUUUCUGCAGAGGAGGAAGAGUCAGAGGUGGAGGAAGAAGUACUGCUCAUCAUCCAUCAUCACUUGCAUUUGACAGAUACUCAAAGGCAGGCAGGGAGGUGGGAGAGCUGUAUAGUAUAAAAAGGGAAGGUUCUAGAUGUUCUCUGACUGGAGGCUGCUAGCAUAGGGAAGCUGUAGGCAGGCUAAUGAGAAGCCGUGUAUCCUAUGUGAUUGAUUACAGGCUCAAAUUUGGCCUUCUCUUUGUUGAUAGUUAGGAUAUAGCUCAGUUGAUCGAGAGCUUGUCUCACAUGCACAAGGCCCUGGGUUCAAUCCCCAGCCCCACAAAAAAAAUAAAAAUAAAAAAAUAAAACAAAACAAAACCCUACCUGAGUAUCUUUACAUUGCAUAAAGUCCCACACCUAGUGAACAACUGACAGUUUGAACCAG
rnacentral:lncRNA from 1 species